AAAAUGUUUGUGAAUUUCUUGAUAACACUGAAAUCAACAGGGUAAAAGUAUAUAACGACGCAUAUCACAGUUUCCCAAUAAAUAAGUCAGUUGCAUAUUGGGGCCUUAAAUACUAGAAAAAAUUUGUUAAAAAUCCUGUGUCUUCACCAAUUGAUUCAACAGUUGGAGAUGCAGGUGGUGAAACCAUUGAAUCCAUCGUCUCAGACGAUUGUAGAUUAUCAAUCAAUUGAUUAUCAUCGAACACUUCUUCCUUCUCCUCAGAAAUCGGUGAUUCCGGGGGCGGUGAUGAGUCUACAGCAGGUUUGAUACUCUUAGGCUCCUGAAAUGUCUUAAUAAACGCAAUAAGUGUAUCAA